rnacentral:lncRNA from 12 species
CCAGCGGCGUCAGGAGGUUUCAUUUCCCGACACCGGCAACACCCCCCGUGUGUGAAGAUUCCCCAGAUGGCCGCUCUGUAGGGAAAGGGGGCUGACAAAGAACAUUCUGCAGCUUAAACUGAUGGUGAGAACCAGGCUGUGCCGCUGCCGGUCGAGCAUCCUCCGCGCCGUGCUCCGCGCGGCAGCGAUUGCCGCUGGCGAGGGAGCGGUGUGCACCGUGAGCACACACAGGGACACAGGGACACACGGACACACGGACACACGGACACAGGGACACACAGACACAGGGACACAGGGACACACGGACACACGGACACACGGACACACGGACACAGGGACAGAGAGACACAGAGACACAGACAUACAGACACACAGACACACAGGGACACAGGGACACAGACACACAGACACACAGACACAGACACACAGACACACAGACACUCACUCACAGACACACAGACACAGGCACACAGACACACAGACACACAGACACACACAGACACAGGCACACAGACACACAGACACUCACACAGCUCCCCCUGAAGCCCCGGCCCCUGCUGGUGUUUGACCAUCCCGCAUCGGAACGAGCCCCAGCGCGCCCCGCAGCGCUGCCG